UUCUUAUCCAGAGAGACGGAGGGACUGGCCCUGUGAUGUCUCAGCAACCUGCCAUCGGCAAAGGUGCUACUUCCAGCGGAUCCUGAAAAGGUUCCGGAAGAUAAGAA
rnacentral:ncRNA from 2 species